AUUGAACGCUGGCGGCAUGCUUUACACAUGCAAGUCGAGCGGCAGCGCGGGGGCAACCCUGGCGGCGAGCGGCGAACGGGUGAGUAAUGCAUCGGAACGUACCCUGGAGUGGGGGAUAACGCCGCGAAAGCGGCGCUAAUACCGCAUAUGCUCUGAGGAGGAAAGUGGGGACCGCAAGGCCUCACGCUCUGGGAGCGGCCGAUGUCCGAUUAGCUAGUUGGUGAGGUAAAGGCUUACCAAGGCGACGAUCGGUAGCUGGUCUGAGAGGAUGAUCAGCCACACUGGGACUGAGACACGGCCCAGACUCCUACGGGAGGCAGCAGUGGGGAAUUUUGGACAAUGGGCGAAAGCCUGAUCCAGCCAUGCCGCGUGUCUGAAGAAGGCCCUUCGGGUUGUAAAGGACUUUUGUUCAGGGAGCAAAACUUACUGGUUAAUACCGUGAGGCUGAGAGUACCUGAAGAAUAAGCACCGGCUAACUACGUG
rnacentral:rRNA from 1 species